rnacentral:rRNA from 1 species
UACGUAGGGGGCAAGCGUUGUCCGGAUUUAUUGGGCGUAAAGAGCGUGUAGGCGGCCUGGUAGGUCAGCUGUGAAAACUCGAGGCUCAACCUCGAGACGCCGGUUGAAACCAUCAGGCUAGAGUCCGGAAGAGGAGAGUGGAAUUCCCGGUGUAGCGGUGAAAUGCGCAGAUAUCGGGAGGAACACCAAUGGCGAAGGCAGCUCGCUGGGACGGUACUGACGCUGAGGCGCGAAAGCGUGGGGAGCGAACAGG